rnacentral:rRNA from 1 species
AAUCGUGUCCUUAGAGCAAGAUAUUAUCCUACGGGAAACAUUCUCAACUGUGAACUUAAAAAGGGAUCCUCUUACGUGUGGCAAAGUAUUUGGGGUAUCCAGACUUUCAAAAAGGGCUGCAUUUGGAGAGUGGGAGAUGGCACAAAGAUAAACAUAUGGAAUGAUUGUUGGAUACCAAAUAGUGCAUCCAAUAAAAUCAUCACAAUUCGGGGCAAUCAAGUGCUAACCCGGGUUUGUGAGUUAUUAGACCCAAUCACUGGAGAGUGGGAUGAGCAGCUGAUCCAAGAGAAUUUUUGGCACAUUGACGUUGGAAGUAUCUUGCAAAUCCCUAUAUUUCAUUUGGAGACAGAAGAUUUUGUUGCAUGGCAUCUAACGAAGAAUGGGUUGUUCUUCGUUCGCUCUGCUUACUAUAAACAGUGGGAAGAAAACUUUAACUAGGACAAUAUGGGCCUUGUGCGCUACUCCUCAGUGCCACAUCCAAUCUGGCGCAAGUUAUGGAGUUUGAAGGUUCCAACAAAGAUCAAAAUUUUCAUCUGGCGGUGCCUACACAAUGCCAUCCCAUGUUUUAGCGUUCUUGCUAAUCGUCAUAUAGGAAAGGUAUCCGAAUGCCCAAUUUGUCAAGCGGGUGCAGAGGACAUUUCGCAUGUCCUGUUCAAGUGUAUUUGAUCGAGGGCUGUUUGGGAUGCUCUUGCAAUAAGCACAGAGAUCCGGUUGGCUGCUGAGGUGGAUCGAUUAGGUGCGGCUGUUAUUGAUUUUCCUACUUUGCGAUGCUGUUCAUCAAAAACCUUUUUUGGGAGAGGUCGAACUACUAGAAUUAAUAGCUAUAACAUGUAG